AUUUAAAAACUAACGUAGUUUAAUUUGUGUAUAGCAUGUUAAGUUUUUUUAUUAUAAGAUAGAUCUAACAUAUUCUAUCAAAUCACGUUAAUUUAUAAAUAAUUAUUUUUAUGAUAUUGUAUCUUGAAAUUAAAGAUUAUGAAAUGCAUGUUUGAUAUGUAGUGUGAACGUACUGAUUGACGAUCCAAUACAUUAUCGGCGAGUUCAUAGGAAUAUAACAGUGGCGGAUGUCAAUUGUACCAAAUGCAACAGAAUUUUGGGCCGAAAAUAUGUUCAAGUAGAGGCAGAAGCACGCAGCAUUGUAAUCAGAGAAGGAAGAAUUCGAAUGAAUUUGAACAAACUCCUGUUUUGGAAUGGAGACCAUCUAGAGGACCCAAUGACGAGGGCACCUGUCAACAUAUAAGUGGGAAGAUUACCCUGAUCAUCAUCUCGAGAACAAAGCGUGACAUUAUACUUUAUUUUAAAUUUUAUUAUCCUCAAUCACAUUUAAUAUAAUCCAAUUUUAAGUGGUUUCGUUUAUCAACCAUUUAAAUGGCAAUCAUUAAAAAUUUAUCGCAUGGCAAGUGUGACUGAGAAUAUUUCAUAAUAUUAUUUGGUGCAAAAGUAAAUUUUAUACUGGAGCAAGCUGGUCCAACCUUCUCCAAGUUCUAAUGACAUGUAAUCACAAACUUGUUUGGGAAUAAAUUUCAUUUUUCUUUUGUUUUAGUCUUUGGUUUUGAUUUUUACCGAUAAUGGAAAAUUGCACUUGGAUGCUUGGCUUCGAUAUCUAUUUUUUUAAAUGGUUUAAGUAUCAUAAAACCCAAAAGAAGUCUCUAUACAUACAUAUUUAGAAGUAUCAUAUGUUUUCACAUUAAUCUUUCAUUUAAGUAAUGCGGCCUUAAAUUGGAUUAUAUUCAAUUAGACAAUUUAAGAUCAUCCACCACAUGAGCAACGUAGCAUCGUCCAAUCUAUAAAUAUGAUUGGGUGUGGCUACGUAGCUCCUCAUC